rnacentral:rRNA from 1 species
GACGAACGCUGGCGGCGUGCUUAACACAUGCAAGUCGAGCGGUGCGGCGAACGGGUGAGUAACGCGAGAGUAACUGCCCCCCUCUCUGGGAUACCAGUUGGAAACGGCUGCUAAUACCGGAUAGUGGGGGAUGACUCGCGUCGUAUCAGCUUGUUGGUGGGGUAGUGGCCUACCAAGCGGGCGACGGGUAGCCGGCCUGAGAGGGCGACCGGCCACAUUGGGCUUAGAGACGUCCCAAACUCCGACGGGAGGCAGCAGUGGGAAAUAUUGCGCAAUGGGGUAAACCGUGAGGCAGCAACGCCGCGUGCAAGAUGACGGCCUUCGGGUUGUAAACCGCUUUCAGCCAUGACGCGGUAGUGGCAGAAGAAGCACCGGCUAACUACGUGCCAGCAGCCGCGGUAAUUC